UCGCGGGGGUCUCGGCGAGUGGCUUGCGUGCGAUCGGCCCUGCCCUGCCCCGGGACUGCCGCGCAGCAGGGAGGGCCCGGGCUGCACCCCGAAACUGCCAAGCCCGGGGCGGGCCGCGCCCCGAUCUGGGGCAAACGAGAACUAGAAAUGUGGUCUCUGCUGUUCCUGCCCUCAGGAGUGUCAACCUAACCUUGGAACAGAAGAGAGUGAAAAGGCUGUGAGAAUCAGGCCAGGUUUGGAAUGUACACCAAGGUUAACCUCAGUAAGGAGAGCUAACAUCCCAGUGUAAUGGGCCUUUGCAGACACAGCACAUGCAAGUGGGGAUGUCUGGUCUGUUCUGUGCCAAGAGGUACAGGACUGGCCUUUCCACUGGAAGGGAGGCAGUAAGCCGAGGGUGAGACUGAGCCAGCCUCGGGUGACAGAAGCCAGGGCACGUUACAACCAUGAAGGUCAAGGUUCUGCAGAGCACACCACAUGAAACACAGUAUGUUGGCCAACAGAGCCUCCCCACCCUUAGGUAGGACAUGUGGCCAGCUGGAGGAGGUUCCCAGCUGCUCCAAGGUGUGCCCAGCCACUUAGUGCAUCUGUGUCAGACCUGAGGCUGUCUAGACAGGCCUGUCUGCCUGGGCCUCGGCUUGCUCUCAAGGAGUCGCUCCACUGUGGCCCACAACUUUGAAUCCUCUAGCAGCAGAAGCAGGCAGAUCUCUGUGAGUUCAAAGCCAACCUGGUUUACACAGUGACUUCCAGAAUGGCCUGGGCUACAUAGAGAAAACUGUCUCAAAAAAGAGAAAGCUCUCCUCUCAGAACCUUGCUUCCUGUUAUGCCCACAAAGCCACUCCAACGUCCAGGGACCAGUCUGUUCAUCACUGCUGUGGUGGGAUGUGGGUGUGGUACGUGGUCCCGGACUGGCUGCCUCCCCCUGAGAGACUUGCACCUCCUAAAGCUGACAGCCCCCUUGCAGCUCUUAUUCCCCUUUCUGCACAAGAGGCAGGGCCUGCAGCCACCCCUAGUCCUCUGACCAGCCCUGCUUGUCUGUACCUGCUUCCGGUUCAGCUUUCAUCUUAGCAGGCUGGCCCCCACAGUCAGGACCCUGAUCUGUUCCAUCCCUGCUCUCCCCACCUUGGUGUCACUGACUGCCCCCACCCCCAGGUCCAUGGACUGGAGGCUUCUGGUUAUACUCACUGAGUAGCCACAGGAACUCCAUCGUGGACUGGUGAGAUGGCUCAGCAGGUAAGAGCUGCUCUCCCAAAGGUGUUGAGUUCAAAUCCCA